UGAGGAAUAUUGGUCAAUGGGCGAGAGCCUGAACCAGCCAAGUAGCGUGAAGGAUGACUGCCCUAUGGGUUGUAAACUUCUUUUAUAAAGGAAUAAAGUCGGGUAUGGAUACCCGUUUGCAUGUACUUUAUGAAUAAGGAUCGGCUAACUCCGUGCCAGCAGCCGCGGUAAUACGGAGGAUCCGAGCGUUAUCCGGAUUUAUUGGGUUUAAAGGGAGCGUAGAUGGAUGUUUAAGUCAGUUGUGAAAGUUUGCGGCUCAACCGUAAAAUUGCAGUUGAUACUGGAUAUCUUGAGUGCAGUUGAGGCAGGCGGAAUUCGUGGUGUAGCGGUGAAAUGCUUAGAUAUCACGAAGAACUCCGAUUGCGAAGGCAGCCUGCUAAGCUGCAACUGAUAUUGAGGCUCGAAAGUGUGGGUAUCAAACAGGAUUAGAUACCCUGGUAGUCCACACGGUAAACGAUGAAUACUCGCUGUUUGCGAUAUACUGCAAGCGGCCAAGCGAAAGCGUUAAGUAUUCCACCUGGGGAGUACGCCGGCAACGGUGAAACUCAAAGGAAUUGACGGGGGCCCGCACAAGCGGAGGAACAUGUGGUUUAAUUCGAUGAUACGCGAGGAACCUUACCCGGGCUUAAAUUGCAGAUGAAUUACGGUGAAAGCCGUAAGCCGCAAGGCAUCUGUGAAGGUGCUGCAUGGUUGUCGUCAGCUCGUGCCGCGAGGUGUCGGCUUAAGUGCCAUAACGAGCGCAACCCUUGUUGUCAGUUACUAACAGGUUCCGCUGAGGACUCUGACAAGACUGCCAUCGUAAGAUGUGAGGAAGGUGGGGAUGACGUCAAAUCAGCACGGCCCUUACGUCCGGGGCUACACACGUGUUACAAUGGGGGGUACAGAGGGCCGCUACCACGCGAGUGGAUGCCAAUCCCCAAAACCUCUCUCAGUUCGGACUGGAGUCUGCAACCCGACUCCACGAAGCUGGAUUCGCUAGUAAUCGCGCAUCAGCCACGGCGCGGUGAAUACGUUCCC
rnacentral:rRNA from 1 species